rnacentral:lncRNA from 1 species
GGAUCCAUUAAUAUUUGGUGGCAAAGCAACCCAUGCACAUCUUCAUGCAGCACCCAUGCGGAUAGCAAGCAGCACACCUCCACAUAUCCACGGUGCAACACCAAACCUUCACGCAUCCAACAGCUGCCACCCACAUUCCAGCCUUCACGCACACAUCUCCACACGGUCCAGCAGAUGGCAACACAUCCAGCAAAGGGUGUAGCUCCAUGGACAUCAAGCAACUUCAAACGUAACAGUAGCAGCUCCCGCAAGCACUCCUUCACGGCCCAGCAAGGUGCAGCCUGCUGCGCAUCCAACAUCUUCAAGGACAUCAUGAUCCAGCAGCUGGAAAUCAACUUUGCAAAACACCAAACAACAGCCCAUAUUGAAGCACAUGUCACGCUCUAUGCUGCAACAAAAAGAAGCUUGUGCACGGAUGGAUGCAGCAACACGUGAAUGAGAAAGAACUCUUCAUCCAGCUACUUUGUAAGAGCCCACACUGCAGCAACGUUUUUAUUCUCCACCACACAACUGCAGUUCACGG